GACGAACGCUGGCGGCGUGCUUAACACAUGCAAGUCGAACGGAAAGGCCCUUCUUUUGUGGGGUGCUCGAGUGGCGAACGGGUGAGUAACACGUGAGUAACCUGCCCUUGACUUUGGGAUAACUUCAGGAAACUGGGGCAAAUACCGGAUAGGAGCUCCUGCUGCAUGGUGGGGGUUGGAAAGUUUCGGCGGUUGGGGAUGGACUCGCGGCUUAUCAGCUUGUUGGUGGGGUAGUGGCUUACCAAGGCUUUGACGGGUAGCCGGCCUGAGAGGGUGACCGGCCACAUUGGGACUGAGAUACGGCCCAGACUCCUACGGGAGGCAGCAGUGGGGAAUAUUGCACAAUGGGCGGAAGCCUGAUGCAGCAACGCCGCGUGCGGGAUGACGGCCUUCGGGUUGUAAACCGCUUUCGCCUGUGACGAAGCGUGAGUGACGGUAAUGGGUAAAGAAGCACCGGCUAACUAAGUG
rnacentral:rRNA from 1 species